rnacentral:rRNA from 1 species
GACGAACGCUGGCGGCGUGCUUAACACAUGCAAGUCGAACGGGAUCCGGGCUUUCGGGUUUGGUGAGAGUGGCGAACGGGUGAGUAACACGUGAGUAACCUGCCCCCUUCUUUGGGAUAACGUCGGGAAAUCGGCGCUAAUACUGGAUAUUCUUGCUGCAUCGCAUGGUGUGGUUUGGAAAGGGUUUCUGGUGGGGGAUGGGCUCGCGGCCUAUCAGCUUGUUGGUGGGGUGAUGGCCUACCAAGGCUUUGACGGGUAGCCGGCCUGAGAGGGUGUCCGGCCACACUGGGACUGAGACACGGCCCAGACUCCUACGGGAGGCAGCAGCGGGGAAUAUUGCACAAUGGGCGCAAGCCUGAUGCAGCGACGCCGCGUGAGGGAUGACGGCCUUCGGGUUGUAAACCUCUUUCAGUAUGGAACAAGGAUCCUUCUUUUGGGGGGUUUGAGGGUACGUGCAGAAGAAGCGCCGGCUAACUACGUG